rnacentral:rRNA from 1 species
AACGAACGCUGGCGGCGCGUCUUAAGCAUGCAAGUCGAACGGCAAGAUUGGUGCUUGCACCGAUCCUAGAGUGGCGGACUGGUGAGUAACGCGUGGGUGACGUACCCUAAGGAUGGGGGAUAGCUGGUAGAAAUAUCAGAUAAUACCGAAUAUCCUUAUUGUUGUUAGAGGACAGUAAGGAAAGGAGCUUUGGCUUCGCCUAAGGAUCGGCCCGCGUACUAUUAGCUAGUUGGUGAGGUAACGGCUCACCAAAGGCGACGAUAGUUAUCCGGCCUAAGAGGGUGAACGGGACACAUUGGGACUGAGAUACGGCCCAG